UACGUAGGGUGCGAAGCGUUUGUCCGGAAUUAUUGGGCGUAAAGAGCUUGUAGGCGGUUUGUCGCGUCUGCUGUGAAAAUCCGGGGCUCAACCCCGGACUUGCAGUGGGGUACGGGCAGGCUAGAGUGUGGUAGGGGAGACUGGAAUUCCUGGUGUAGCGGUGGAAUGCGCAGAUAUCAGGAGGAACACCGAUGGCGAAGGCAGGUCUCUGGGCCACUACUGACGCUGAGAAGCGAAAGCAUGGGGGAGCGAACAGG
rnacentral:rRNA from 1 species